UACGUAGGGUCCGAGCGUUGUCCGGAAUUAUUGGGCGUAAAGGGCUCGUAGGCGGCUUGUCGCGUCGGAUGUGAAAGCCCGGGGCUUAACUCCGGGUCUGCAUUCGAUACGGGCAGGCUAGAGUUCGGUAGGGGAGAUCGGAAUUCCUGGUGUAGCGGUGAAAUGCGCAGAUAUCAGGAGGAACACCGGUGGCGAAGGCGGAUCUCUGGGCCGAUACUGACGCUGAGGAGCGAAAGCGUGGGGAGCGAACAGG
rnacentral:rRNA from 1 species